GGUGGCUCAGUAGUAGAGCACUCACCUAGCACAUGAGAGGCCCUGAGUUCUAUCCUCAGCACCA
rnacentral:tRNA from 1 species